rnacentral:rRNA from 1 species
AUUGAACGCUGGCGGCAGGCCUAACACAUGCAAGUCGAGCGGAUGAGGAGGGCUUGCUCUUCGAUUCAGCGGCGGACGGGUGAGUAAUGCCUAGGAAUCUGCCUGGUAGUGGGGGACAACGUUUCGAAAGGAACGCUAAUACCGCAUACGUCCUACGGGAGAAAGCAGGGGACCUUCGGGCCUUGCGCUAUCAGAUGAGCCUAGGUCGGAUUAGCUAGUUGGUGAGGUAAUGGCUCACCAAGGCGACGAUCCGUAACUGGUCUGAGAGGAUGAGCAGUCACACUGGAACUGAGACACGGUCCAGACUCCUACGGGAGGCAGCAGUGGGGAAUAUUGGACAAUGGGCGAAAGCCUGAUCCAGCCAUGCCGCGUGUGUGAAGAAGGUCUUCGGAUUGUAAAGCACUUUAAGUUGGGAGGAAGGGCAGUAAGUUAAUACCUUGCUGUUUUGACGUUACCGACAGAAUAAGCACCGGCUAACUCUGUGCCAGCAGCCGCAGUAAGAC